CCCCGGCUCCGGCUCCGGCCCCCGGUCCCUCGGCCCCGUGUCACUUGCUGCUCCGAUGUCUCCGCCAAGUGACAGAAGAGACGCGUGUCGGUGAGACCAGAGUCUCUCAUCUCUUCGAGACUGUGUUUUGUUCGUUUGUUUGUUUGUUUCAAGAGCAGAUCAGUGGCGCAGCUUUCGGUAGAACUCUCUCUGCAAAGUCAGGUUUCCAUUCCCUGAGAAGCCCCCGGUGUUCUGCCCCAGCUGCCAUUCUUCUGGGUUGGAGUCUUGUGCCUCAAAAUAGUUCAGAAGACAGGGGGACAGGCGAAAAAAAAAAUCAGAGACAGACACGUUUCCCCAGUUGAAGGAGCAGGACUGAAGACCUUCUGGAGGGAUGAUGUGCAGCCUGCAGACUUGCUUUCUUCUCCACUGAGUGUUGCAAUUGAGAUGACUACAUCAGUUCCUGACUGACUGAACAGUUUGUCUAGGAAAACUGCAAGAGAGACUGAACAUGGAACAAACAGAGUCAGUGUGGUAAGAAGACAGAUAUAUGUAACUGUCCGUACAAGGAUGGAUAAGAAAACAGAAAAUAGAUUCGGUUUGUUUUCAUUGUCUUAGAACUUGAAUAAAAUGGAGUAUCAGCCAGU